GAUGAACGCUGGCGGCGUGCCAAAUACAUGCAAGUCGAGCGAACAGACGAGGAGCUUGCUCCUCUGACGUUAGCGGCGGAUGGGUGAGUAACACGUGGAUAACCUACCUAUAAGACUGGGAUAACUUCGGGAAACCGGAGCUAAUACCGGAUAAUAUAUUGAACCGCAUGGUUCAAUAGUGAAAGCCGGUUUUUCUGUCACUUAUAGAUGGUUCCGCGCCGCAUUAACUAGUCGGUAAGCUAACGGCUUACAAAGGCAACCGUGCGUCACCAAGCUGAGAGGCUCGUAGAGCACUGUGAUAAUCAGACACGGCCCCGACUCCUACGGCAGGCAACAGGAGGGAGUCAUACACGAUAGGCGAAAGCCUAGCGGAGGACUGCCGCGUGAGUGAUAAAGGUCUUCGAAUCGUAAAGCUCUGUUAUGAUUGAAGAACGGAUGUGUAAAUAACUAUGCACGUCUUGACGGUACCUACUCAGAAAGCCGCGGCUAAAUACGUG
rnacentral:rRNA from 1 species